CCCUUAGAUGUCCUGGGCCGCACCCGCGUUACACUGAUGCAUUCAACGAGCUUAUAACCUUGGCCGAGAGGCCUGGGCAAUCUUGUUAACGUGCAUCGUGAUAGGGAUAGAUUAUUGAAAUUAUUAAUCUUGAACGAGGAAUUCCUAGUAAACGCAGAUCAUCAAUCUGCAUUGAUUACGUCCCUGCCCUUUGUACACACCGCCCGUCGCACCUACCGAUUGGAUGGUCCGGUGAAGCCUCGGGAUUGUGGUUCUUGCCGCUUUAUUGUGGCGUGACCGCGAGAACUUGUCUAAACCUUAUCAUCUAGAGGAAGGUGAAGUCGUAACA
rnacentral:rRNA from 1 species